rnacentral:tRNA from 1 species
UCCCCUGUAGCUCAAUGGUAGAGCGGCCGGCUGUUAACCGGCAGGUUACUGGUUCGAGUCCAGUCGGGGGAG